GGACGGACCUCUGGAGAGAUUCCCUUCCCGUGGGAAGGGAACACCGACGGGGCAAGUUUCCGUAAGGGAAACGAAACUCUCAGGUUCCAGGACAGAGGAGGUUGU
rnacentral:ncRNA from 2 species